rnacentral:rRNA from 1 species
AACGAACGCUGGCGGCAUGCCUAACACAUGCAAGUCGAACGAGACCUUCGGGUCUAGUGGCGCACGGGUUCGUAACGCGUGGGAACCUUCCUUUAGGUUCGGAAUAACUCAGAGAAAUUUGAGCUAAUACCGGAUGAUGUCUUCGGACCAAAGAUUUAUCGCCUUUAGAUGGUCCCUCGUUGGAUUAGCUAGUUGGUUGGGUAAAGGCAUACCAAGGCGACGAUCCAUAGCUGGUCUGAGAGGAUGAUCAGCCACACUGGGACUGAGACACGGCCCAGACUCCUACGGGAGGCAGCAGUGGGGAAUAUUGGACAAUGGGCGAAAGCCUGAUCCAGCAAUGCCGGGUGAGUGAUGAAGGCAUUAGGGUUGUAAAGCUCUUUUACCCGAGAUGAUAAUGACAGUAUCGGGAGAAUAAGCUCCGGCUAACUCCGUG